rnacentral:rRNA from 1 species
GACGAACGCUGGCGGCGUGCUUAACACAUGCAAGUCGAACGAUGAACCGGAGCUUGCUCUGGGGAUUAGUGGCGAACGGGUGAGUAACACGUGGGCAACCUGCCCCAGACACCGGGAUAACCAUUCGAAAGGAUGGCUAAUACCGGAUACGACCACUUCGGGCAUCCGAUGGUGGUGGAAAGGAUUCUGGUCUGGGAUGGGCCCGCGGCCUAUCAGCUUGUUGGUGGGGUAAUGGCCUACCAAGGCGACGACGGGUAGCCGGCCUGAGAGGGCGACCGGCCACACUGGGACUGAGACACGGCCCAGACUCCCACGGGAGGCAGCAGUGGGGAAUAUUGCGCAAUGGGCGAAAGCCUGACGCAGCGACGCCGCGUGAGGGACGAAGGUCUUCGGAUUGUAAACCCCUUUCAGCAGGGAUGAAGCGAAAGUGACAGUACCUGCAGAAGAAGCACCGGCUAACUACGUGCCAGCCGCCGCAGUAAAAC